rnacentral:lncRNA from 1 species
CUGCGGCAUGCUCCCCAGCAAGAGAAGAUUUCUGAGUCCAAAUCAGGCUGACAGGCAUGCCUGGUGGAGGAGCAACGAAGACCGCUGAGCGUGCAUUGCCAGCAUUUUUAGGGGUCUCUGCUUCAGGCGGAAGUUCCAGAUCUUCUAGGUCCCAACCACCUUCCUCGCCAUCCUCCUCAUUUGCUUCACCCUCCUCAGCAUCAAAACCGUCACCACCAUUUGCCAUCGCUUCGCUUGCAUCAACCAUAUCCAGGUCCUCAUCACCCCAGUCAGCACCAGCAGCUUCAUCGUCUUCCUCAAGUUCAGCCUUCCCAGUAGCAUCCAGUCCACCCUCAAAGAUACCAUGCAUCACCCUAAGCAAUGGCCAAUCACCACUGGCUGUAAGAGGAGCAGGGGGGAUCAAAAGAGAGCGAGCUUUUCCUUCAGGAAGAGAAGGAAUAUUUUCACCCAGCUCAGCGGCAAGCCUAUCAGCAAUUUCUGUGAGCCCAUGGGUGGUAGCAGUAAUAUAAGCAAGAGGUAGCUGUCCAGCAUUCUCUAGGAUCUCAACUCUCUUCAACGCAUCACCAAGAUACAGAGCAUUGUGGAAUUGACCCAUCAGGUUAUUGUUCUGUCCAGCAAUUUUGCACAUGAAACCCACCUUGUCCAUGUAACCAGUAAUAAGAUAUAGGAAAGCAAGCCUCUCAAAAUUCUUCGUACGUUGGUAUGCAUAUUCCACAAUACCAACAUUUCCCUGCCUCAGGGCCUCAAUUCCCAACCUGUACCAGUGAUCCUUGUCAUCAAUCUCUUUUGCAGAAGCAACUGCGAUUUGGAUGUUACCACUCUCAAGAGCAAGGUUAAAUCUUGUCUUCUCAUCUUUCACAAAGUGGAGGGCAACUUCUGGAAAGCCUUUCUGUUGUAAAUAAGAAAUCACAGCUUGCCCACACAGCUGGGAAUUCUUGAUCAUACUCAUCACAUGAUCAUACCGUUUGCGUAGAAGGGCCAGCUUGAAAAUGUACUCAGAUGCAUCAACUGUGACCAGCUUGUUCUUACCAUCACGAUCUAGACAGAAUAUAUUGUUCCCAAUAACCCUUGUUAUGUAUAUAGGAACAUCGAGGGUUUUAAUAAUCCCACUAUCUCCAUUGGGAAGGCAAUACUUGAUAUGAUUCAGGGUAGUGUAAAUAAACACACCAUUCUCAUCCCAGGCACCACUUUUCACACGAAUGGUUUCGUGCAGUGUACAGCGAUGGACGAGCUUCUUGUUUGCUAUAACCACUGCAUGCUUGCUCAGCAGUGCGACAGAUUCCAUAUCACUAGACCAAACAACAUAUUUAACAGAAGGUGCCUGGAGCUCACCAAGAAUUAACCUUUGCUGCAGAUCAAAGAUGGUCACUCGGUCUUCGGCUUUGCACAGCAAGUUACCAGUCCCAGCAUAAUAAAUUGCAUCCGUGGCAAUAGGAAGAGGGCUUUUCUUUACGAUUUCAUUCUUAAGAUUCUUCACCAAAACUUGAUUGCUACUCUUCUCAAGGACUGCAAACCUGUUGCGUGCCACGAAAACAGCUGACCCACCAGCUCCCUUCUUUGCAUCCUGCAAAUAGUCAGCCCUGCCAGCAGAAUCCUUGGGAACAAUGUAGAGUUCGUAUGAGCCUCCAUCCACAUCAGAGCAAAUCAGGACAGCAUUUUCAGUUGGACUGUAAGAUAGUGUCUUGGGUGACUGGUUCAAGCUCACUGAUCCAGGUCUUCUUAUUGGAGCAAGCUGAACUUCCUUCUGUGUGGUGAAUUCAAAAAAACGAAGAAAACGGUCCUUCACAUAGAAAACAGUAUCUCCACUCACAGAGAAAGCUGGACGUUCCCUCUCCAAUUUAAACACAAUCAUACCACUGUCAUGACCAGCGGCAAGAAGAUUCAUCUCAGGGUGAGCAGAAAGAAUCCAGAAACGAUCAUGUUCCCGCCUGAACGUUUGAAUACCGGUUCGCUUUGUGGCAUCCCAGAUGCGAAUGCUUUUGUCCUCUGAGUUGGACACAAUGAUGUCUUGCUUAGCAUGGAACAUCACGCAUGACACAUUAUUCAUGUGUCCCCGCAAAGUAUCAACUUCCCAAGCCUUCGUGUCUGUCCAAAAAAAUAGCACAUUUAGAUUACAUUAAUUCAAAUACCUCAAUAGCGGUUUGCUGCAUAUGCAUAUAGUUUUGUGUUUGGCCAGUCUAGCAAUAUGCAGAAGAAUGAAGUGCUAUGCAACAAGAAUGACCACCUUUCAUUCCAACCAAAGUGACAAACUAGAGGUCAGGAGCUAGUUACUAAUUGAGUAAUUGUGAAGCAUGUUUCUUGCAUUCAGCUUGUUCGGUAAUUACUACUUCUGUGAAAGUAUGAUAAAUUGAAGAAAACAAAAGGAAUUCAUAAUAAAAUCAAAUCCAUAGUUUGUAGUAAUAAUAUAUGGAAGGACAAAUGAAUAAAAACACAAAUAUGCAAGCGUUUAUCCAUGGAAAAUGGUAAUAGAAAAGUUUAAGGCCUUGUAGCAGUAUUACCAUUCAUUCUCCAUAGCUUCACUUGUCGGUCAUCUGCCCCGGAAACAAUGAGUGGCAAUGUGGGGUGAAAUGAUGCCCAGUUCACCCCACGGUCAUGCCCUUCCAACACAUAUUUUACAACUGCAUCAACACCUCCAAACAGAUCUGUGUUCAUCUGGGUGAGACGCAGGAUGUCAUCUGCAGGUGACACCGUCUUCUUCCUCAAAGCACCAAUAUCCCAAACACGGACAGUCUGAUCCAGUGAUGCUGACACAACCAGGUCCUCCUUGGGAUGGAAUGAUGCGCACAUGACAUAGUGGUUAUGUCCAGUCAGCACAGCUACACAUGUGCGUGACUGCCAGUUCCAGAUCCGGAUUGUCUGGUCAUCACUAGCACUUACUAUCCAUGGGUAUUCGUGGUGGAAUUGCACGGUGCGAAUAUAGUCAAGGUGCCCGUGAAGUGUGAAGAGGCAGCGGUGUGUCUUGUAAUUCCACACCUUAAUCUUGUAAUCAUCACCUGCAAUGCAUCACAGAAAUCUUAGAAUAGUUCAGAAGUUCAACCAUUCCGCAUCCCAAUCAUAUUAGUCCACCGAGCAAUACGACCGGACACCAGUAUGACUUCGUUUCAAGUUUCAACAGAUCCCAAAGUCCAGGUUUCAACAAAUUCCAAAGGUCCAUGAUGGCACCUUGCCAUCGCUAACUUGCUACUUGUAUCAGAUUCACACUACAAAAGCUGAUUCUCUCUGGUUGAGGGCUACACAUCGACUCAUUCUACUUCCUAUCAUAUCUCUUCUACGGAAGGAUUGCAAAAUCGAUGGAGAUCCCGGUCAUAAAUAGAAACAAAAUGUCACAUGAAGGUUUCAAACUAACAAUUCACCAAACAGUUCAUCUUAAGCUAAGAGAAUAGAACCAGCACCAGAUCCAACCAACGAGGAUCACUUGCACAACCACCACUGUACACGAAACGCGAUCUAAUCGCAAACCACGUACGCGUGGUAUCUACCUCGAGUGUCCUCAUUGCACCAUGAAAUGGAUCACGCGGAAAUCUAACGGCCACGCGAGACGUCCUCCAAAUCCGAGGAGGAGGAUCCGACCAAACACGCGUCGACGCCACACCCGACCCCGCGAGCGGCGAACCACCACAGCGAAAAAAAAAAUGCUCGAGGCGGGCGAGAUCUAGGCAGGGAGGAAUCGAUGUUUACCUCCGGAGACGAAGAGCGGCUGCGUGGCGUGGAAGUGGACGCCGCGGACGGGGCCGUCGUGCUCGUCGAAGCGGUCGAGGAGGGUGCCCAUGCGGUAGUCCCACAUCUGGAUCACCCCGCUGUGGAGGCUGGCCAGGAUCCAUGGCCGCCGCGGGUGGAAGCUCAGCCCCUUCACCCGGUUGCUCUUCGUCUCGAACUUGGUCAGCAUCUUCUCUAGCCGUCCCCCCGGCGCGACGGCGGCGGCGGCGGCGAAACCCCUCGCCGCUGAGGCGCGCGGAGGAGAGAGAGGGGGGAGGGGGGGUGGUAUGGCGUUGGGUGGAGAGGACGAAGGUGUUUUUGAGAUCUCGGGGUGGGAGGAGGAAGAAGUGGGGGGAGAGAUCUGGGUUUCGGACGCGGUGGUGAGGUGGUGGGAGGCUUGGCCACCGUUGGAUUCUGGAGACGGGGAGAUCUGGGCCGUUGGUUCCGGUGUGGCCGUGUUGUCAGAUUGGGGUAGACUUGUUUAGGGGUGAGUCAGCUUGGUCCGUAAGGUACCUGAUGAAUACUGUAGCUUCAGUACGAAGGCAGCGUUUUUGACUUGUCAGUAGCAGUAGAGAAAAAAAAAAGUUUAGGGCCAUUUGAAUCGCAUGGUUGAAAGAAAUGUAGGAAUAUAAAAAAGACAGGAUUCUGAUAAGAAUUGAAGUGUAAAACAGAGGAUUGCAAUAUACAUGAAUGGUCGUUUGAUUAGAGCGCAGAAAAAAAACGCAUGAAUCGAAUGAGAGAGAUAGACUCAAAGGACAUUUUCUAAGAGGUUGGAGCUCUUGCUAAAAUUUUCCUCUAAAAUCCACAUGCAAUGUGUCAUUCCAUAGGAAUUUCAUAGGUUUUGGAAAGCUUCAAUCAUUUGAAUCAAAGUACCAAAUAGAAAAAUUUCCUAUAGGAUUUGAAUCCUAUGAAAUUUCUACAUAAAUCCUUUGUUUCAAGAGGCCUUACCUUUUGUAGUUAUGUCAUUUAUAUUUAAAAAACAGGAUAUAUCAUAUAAAAAAUUAUAACCAUGCUAGUAGAAAAAAGGAAUUUAUAAGGCUGGUUAUAACCAUGGUUUAUACUUAUGCUAGUAGAACAAAGAGUUUCCAUGUCUUAAAAUGUCACAACAGAUGCAAGCAAACAAGCACAACCAUAAUACUUGCCGAUUUUGGCAGGUACAGUAGUAUAGGAAUGAGCGUUGGUUACUGCAAUUGUUUCUCCGAUGAAUCAAUAAGUGCAUUAUCGAUUGGAAUAAGAUAACUUAAUGGACGAUCCUUCCCGAGUCUUCAUCAACAACCAAGAGAAAACGAUAGACAUCAGAAAAGGUUAAAGGUGGUAAACAACAUAAUUCCAUAAAUGGAAGGGGACAAAAGACCUAGACAGUAUAUCACUAUAUUAGAUCUAAUCUUGUAAAUACUUUAUUUGAAAAACAAAUCUAAAAUAUUCCUAAAAUAAAAUAGAAGGGCCUCCUCACCAUCGACAAGGGUGCUAAAGACAGUAGGGAAGGGAAGGGGGACUAGAUGGGUUGUGAGGACGAAAGCCUUCAUGAAUUAAAUUGGUGAUUCAUGGUACGCUCUCGCUAUGACAUAUUCCAGUUUACCAUCCAAAUCUAUAUAAUACUUUAUCUAUAGAUAUAUCCACCUAGUUUAUUUGCUAUAAAAAAUCUAGCACAUGAAGUUUAAAGUGCAUCUAGGCUCUAAUUCAAUUUCAGUAAUCAAUGACUAGCGAUUAGAGAUGACUAACACCUUUGCAUAUAACUCUUUGGGCCUACAUGUCAUGUCAGUGGCUAGAUAUUAUGGAACUUGGUCCCUAAGCUUUCUAAAAAUCUUGAAUAGGUCCUUAUCUUCAACCACAAAUAAGAGGAGUGUAAUAAGUGGCGCGCUCAGCCAAGAGCCAAGGCAUGCCCAGGGGACCUCCGUGGUCCCUUCGGGUGCAGUAGGCACAUCAUAGAGUGGCUAGAGGACGACGGGCGACGAGCUCCUGAAAAGCCGUGGCCAUGAUGCUUAUGGUGGUGGGUAGGCAGUGCUCGGGUGGUAGAACGGCAAUAGCUCUAGCAACUACAUGCAUAGGGAAUAGGGAAACCGUAAGCAGGCUAGGGAUUUUCUCACUUAGAAGGGCUUUUCCCGCACUUAGUGAUGGCGGGAGGUAGCAGUGGUGCUUCGGCAAGAUAUGAACAAUGUUGGUAGGCGCGGCUAUUCGGGAAGGGGAAAACGAGAUCAGUGCAACAUGGGGAAAAAGGUGAUGCACAUGGUUGAAAGGUGAUCUCACCGAGGACGUUGCGAUAGGCUCUUGUGCUUACCAGCACCAAUGAUGGCUCCUUUAUUCCUGACAAGAGAGAGAGCCAUGAGCUCCCUCAAGUUGGAAUAGAAUGGGGCGAGUUGAGGAAAAGGAGUGCAACAGGAAGGUUUAUGCGAGGGUUGCAAGCUCAUUUCAUGGCAUUACUCUAAUAUGGCGACCUCAAGCCGUGUGGUGAUGGAACGGGAUUGUCGGGGGUACCGUGGUAUCAGGGAGGAGCCAGGAGGAUUGAUAGCUUGAAAUCUUUGGUCAGCAUUGAAAGAUUUGGUCGGUUUGACUUAGUCGGCACAAGAGGGACCGUAUACGUUCAACGAUUAGCGAGAAAGAAAUAGAGUAAAUUCCCUGUGUACCCCUGAAAACUCACUCAAUCCCUUUCAUACUCCUAAAAUUUACCCGAUCCCUUCUGUACCCCUGAAAUUUCAAUUUGAUCCCUUCCAUGCCCCUACCGUUACAUUUUCCAUCAUUUUACUGUUACGUUUGGUUGCAAAUGUCUUUUUUGCCCUUGAUGCUUUAGGUUUAAAUAUAAGCUUCAAAAAUAAUUGAAAAUUUUGUUUGAGUGCACAUCGUGUGCAUUUUAUAAAACUAAUGAGACUAAAUAAUUAGUGCAGAAAAUUUUGACAUAAAUUUUGAAAAUAAAAUAAAUGUAAAAAAAAUAAAAUUUUUAUUUGAAAUUUUAAUAGGACAAUGGAUUUUUUUAUCAGGAGCAUUCAUAAAAAAAAAUGUUGUGAACAUUGGUAUACCUAUCUUUAUAUGAAUGCUCCUCAUUUUUAUGACCUUUUUUUAAAAAAAUUAAUACGUAUUUUUUUAUUUCAUUAUCUAAAAAUAUUUUUUUGGGAUAAAUAAUGCAUCGCACAACAAACUCAUAACUAUAAUAGUCUCAUGCGAGAAGCUUUUAUAUUUUUAAUAAUGUAAUUCAUGAAUUUCUUUGUUCAUCCAAGGGUAAAAUGGUCAUUUUUAUAGAAAAUACACGGUCAACUAACGGUCAACUGACGGGAGGGGUAUGCAAGGGAUCAAAAUCAAAUUUUGGGGGUAUAUAAGGAAGUAAGCAAAAUUCAGGGGUAUAGAAGGGAUUAGGAAAAAUUUCAGGGGUAUAUAAGGGAUUUUCUCAAAGAAAUAUGGUGAGAGAUGAGUGUUCAAAGGCGAGUAAAAAAAAUUCUACAACCACAUUGCAUAAUAAAAAAAAUCAAAUAAUAAUUUCAUAUAACUAGACUAGAACAAAGCUUAAGAGGUGAAAGGAGUUUUAUGCUAUGAUUUAGUAGUCGUUGAGACCUAUGUUACUCAAAAUUUUAGACUCAAUCUACGGGGUUUUUUUUUUGCCCACGGGUUGGUGGGUACGGGCGUGUAAAGAACGGACCAUACCCAUGUACCUAACGGCUAAGAGUUUUCGCCCGUCAAUAGACUCAUGGGUAUAAGAGUUAGAACAUGAUUAGCUCCUAAUAGAGUAAAAAUCCGUCGGGUGUCGGGUCACGGGUCCCCAUUGACAUCUUUACUUCCAAGUCAUCAUGCAUGGAAAAAAAAAACCAAAAAUAAUUUAGCGCAUAUGAAUUUAUGUACAUCAUUUUGAAGUUUUCACUACUUCAUUUUCUUCUUGGAUGUUGCGUCGAUGAUGAACAAAUUGAAUGAAGUUAAAUUUCUAUUUCAAUGGUAGAAUUUAAUAAGUUUCUAAUCCAUGUUAAGCUAAUCUUAUUGAAGUAUAAUAUUUUCUAUAAGGUCAUCGGGCUAUGUGAUGUAUUUUGCCAAAAGUCUUCACAGUUUAUUUAUGGGUGAUUUAACUACAAUAAGUGGGAAAAGAUUAUUUGUUUAGAUCUUGGUUUAAAAUUCUAAUUUGACUGAGUUGCUGGGGCAUCACAAUAAUGGUAAAGAUUAUAAAAUGUUUUUGUGAAGUCUGUUUGUUUUACUUCGGAUCGAGUUGUCUUAGCCCCAGGCCCCAGCAUGCUUUGUACCUUUCCUCCAUGUAUGAAAAAUAGUCAUGAGUGUUAACAUUUUUAUGUAUUGUUCGUAUAUUAUAAUAACAUCUAAAAUUUACUAAAAUGUACUUAGUAUUUAUUUGUGAUUAGGAAAAUCAAUUUUGCUUUGAUAAAAGUAUUUUUCCUUGCAUUUCAUUUGCAUAAAAUGUUGUUACGUGGGUGCAUGGUUUGGGAUUAAAGACGUUUGAUUUAUUAUAUUUGCGUAUGCUAUGUUUUGAUUUUCAUUUAUAUGUAAAAUAAACUAUUAAAAUGAGUUUUAACAUUUUAAGGCAGCUAAAUGCGUCCCCUCCCCGGUCCAGUCCCCGGCAUUCUCAGCGGUGACGAGGGAAAGGGUACCCAUCUUAGGAUUUAUUCCAAUUACAUCCUCCUAUUAUCAAUCUAGGAUAUUUCUCCCAUGGUGUUUCUUGAAUCAGGUUUGGUUAAAUUCUUUUGCUCUUUUUACAUCUCUUGUUGGAGGUUAUUUCGUUUGCAAGAUUCCCAGUUCGCCAAUGAAGCAAUCAAUGGCACCACCUUUAAGGUUAGGGUCACCGAUUUGCUGAUUUAUCAAAGGAGUGAAGAUAGUGGCCUGUGUUCCUUGAUUUCUUUGUGUGCAUGUUGGAGUUGGUUAGAGUUGUCUCACUAUCCAUUGUUAAUAAGAGAUUAAGCAGCAAACAAGAGACUAAAAUGUGGUAAAUUUCCAGUAGCAUGGAAGGAAUUUAUCCGUUCACUAAUGAAUGAUUACCGCGUCUAAGAGCAUAGGGGUUUGACGCCGAACAAAGCUAGGCCUAUAUUUUUCAGUUAGGACAAUCUAUAUAUAUUUUUAACUUUUCUGGCAUGAACUUAAUGUGUCUAAUUGUACUUUGCCCCCAAAAGGCCUAUGCCCAAUACCUUGGAUGUAAAGUGUUUUUUUUAGUCAUUUACUCCCUCCAUCUCAGAAUAUAGAGAGUUUUAACCCUUGACAUGGCUAUUAAGGAGAAGGGUAGAAAGACUUAUUUGCCAUCUUAGGAUAGAUGAUGUGCAUGUACUGACUAUAAUUAAAACAAGGAAUAGUUAGGUAAUAUGGGUAGCUUAGUAGAAAAAAUACAACCUAUUACUAAUACUAUUUUGCUAUAUUUGAGACAAAUCUUGAAUUCUAUAAGUUGUUAUAUGCUACAUUUGAGAUAACUUUUGAAUUUUAUAUUUGAGAUAACUUUUGAAUUCUAUAUGAGGUUAUAUUUUAGUACGAAGGGAGUAUGGGAAAAUAUGUAAUGUAGUAGAAACCUAAAAACUACAGUUGGAUUCAAAAAAUAGCACCCGAGUGUAAAUUUUUUACUCUUAAUGACGUGAAAAAAUCUCAUACAUUUAUUUUUUUUAUUUUUAGAUCAAUGAUAAUUAUAAGUUUCUAUUACAUAUGUGCAUUUUUAGGUGCAACGGUAGUUUGCUGGGGGAGAAUUGCUGUUUUUUUUUUCCAGUACCCAAGUUUACACUGCGCCAACAAUACAAGGGAAAUCUUUUCCCAGCAUUUGGGUAAAGUUCUCUCUCCUACUUGGGAGCACCGGAUUUUUUUUUCUCACCUAUAUAACUUUUUCUCAGAAGUUAACACAUGACAUGCUAUGGAAUUGCAUAGUUUACUGCCCAAAACACUGUCCAGGCUACGACAUUGUUCUGUUGUGCCGCAGCAGAAGCAACGAAAAAUAGAACUGAAGCAGUACGUUCUAAGGACUAAGGACUUGUUUAGAUGGGACUAAAACUUUUAAAUCCAUAUUAUAUCGGAUGUUUGGACACUAAUUAUAAAUAUUAAACGUAGACUAUUAAUAAAACCCAUCCAUAAUCUUGGACUAAUUCGCGAGACGAAUCUAUUGAGCCUAAUUAAUCCAUGAUUAACCUAUGUGAUGCUACAGUAAACAUUCUCUAAUUAUAGAUUAAUUAGGCUUAAAAAUUUUGUCUCGCAAAUUAGCUUUCAUUUAUAUAAUUAGUUUUGUAAGUAGUCUAUAUUUAAUACUCUAAAUUAGUGUCUAAAUACAUGGACUAAAGUUAAGUCCCUAUAUUCAAACACCACCUAACAAACUAUAAUCCUGCAGGUCCUAGUUUAGGCCAAAGUUGGCAAUGAACAACCAAUUUGGAACUGAACAGCCCGCUUGAAGAUUUACAACACACAGAUCAUUUGCUACUCCUAAAAGGAGCAUAAACAAGUAUCACAAUUCUUUGUUAACCAAACAAUCUUAAGGUGAUCAACAUUGUGAACAUACAGUGUAACAAAAGCAAGCGUGGACGGUGACAAUCACAAGCAACAGAAUGAACAAAAUAAUGCGAGAAAGUAGCUCAAUAGGAUGACAAUGAAAGUAACACCACGACAAAAAAUUUCCAAGAGUGAAAGUAAUAUUGGUACAUCAAUUGUCCAGGGGUAGGCGCAUAGGCCACCAUGAGAUGAUCAAAAGUCCAUAUAUGACAAGUGUAACAGCUGCCUCAAGGCAAACAAAAAUCGAGGGAAAUGAGGGGGAGAAGAUACAAAAACACGACCAUGUAUACACUCCUCAAUCAGUAAACAUGCAGCUAAAAUGUGAGAUAGAGAAUCCCUAGAAUUUUAAGAGACUAAAAGAAAAUGGGGGAGCUCUACCUUAGCACCACUUAUCUCAACUGUGUGGGCGAGCAGACGAGGCCUGAAGCAUCUGCACCAACCACGGCAAGCUCACAUAUGGUACAAAGCUGCCCUUCGAUCGAAGGAACAAACCGGGAUCCACAGUACGGGCAGGAAACAUCCUUCUGGCCACGGUAGAUUGGAACAUAUGUGGCGCCACAGACAACAAAUGGAUUUCUGUAGUCAUAGUUCAGCUCAGAGCUAUCCUUCUUGCCACUGCACUGCUGCUGCACCUGUCGAGCCCUCCUUGCCUGGGCCUCAUUAGGGUUGUUCUCCAGAAGCAUCCUUGCAAAGUGCUCUGCAGUAGCGAAGUUCUUUUGCUUGUAGCACAGACCCAUAGCGCUUCCAAGCACAAGCCUCAUAUGAACUCUCUGAAGCUUGCAGUUAGUGAAAUAAGCAGCCAAUUCUUGUUGGCGGUUGACAUCAUCUCUCAACUCCUUCCUCUUAAGUUCCAUCCUCAGGCCAAGAACAUACUCCCUCACAAUCUCGAUCAACUCUUUCACUUCAUCCACUUCCCUCCUCGAGUCUACCACGAUAAGAGGGAUGGUAUGCAAGAUGCUAAGGAACUGCCUCAGGGCUUCUGGGAACUUACCAUCUGUGGUGGCCUUAUAGGCAGCCUUGAGUCUGUCUUCCAUUUGUGGGAAGGUGAAAACAAGUGCAGGAGGGCCUCUCACAUUAGGACUUGCAGACUCGCUCCAACCUUUCUCAACAGCAACUGGUAUGAUGGGGGCAGUUGCAAGUGCAUGAAGAUAUGAGUGGCUGCCCAUGUGCAGAUCAAGAAACAGGGGCUUGAGGGGAGCAAAGUUUUUUAUGCCCAACUGGCGACUAAGCAACCUCAUUGCAGUGUCAAAGUUCCCUGCUGCUGCAUGCUCCCCAGCAAGAGAAGAUUUCUGAGUCCAAAUCAGGCUGACAGGCAUGCCUGGUGGAGGAGCAACGAAGACCGCUGAGCGUGCAUUGCCAGCAUUUUUUGGGGUCUCUGCUUCAGGCAGAAGUUCCAGAUCUUCUAGGUCCCAACCACCUUCCUCGCCAUCCUCCUCAUUUGCUUCACCCUCCUCAGCAUCAAAACCGUCACCACCAUUCGCCAUCGCUUCGCUUGCAUCAACAAUAUCCAGGCCCUCAUCACCCCAGUCAGCACCAGCAGCUUCAUCGUCUUCCUCAAGUUCAGCCUUCCCAGUAGCAUCCAGUCCACCCUCAAAGAUACCACGCAUCACCCGAAGCAAUGGCCAAUCACCACUGGCUGUGAGAGGAGCAGGGGGGAUCAAAAGAGAGCGAGCUUUUCCUUCAGGAAGAGAAGGAAUAUUUUCACCCAGCUCAGCGGCAAGCCUAUCAGCAAUUUCUGUGAGCCCAUGGGUGGUAGCAGUAAUAUAGGCAAGAGGUAGCUGUCCAGCAUUCUCUAGGAUCUCAACUCUCUUCAUAGCAUCACCAAGAUACAGAGCAUUGUGGAAUUGACCCAUCAGGUUAUUGUUCUGUCCAGCAAUUUUGCACAUGAACCCCACCUUGUCCAUGUAACCAGUAAUAAGAUAUAGGAAAGCAAGCCUCUCAAAAUUCUUCGUACGUUGGUAUGCAUAUUCCACAAUACCAACAUUUCCCUGCCUCAGGGCCUCAAUUCCCAACCUGUACCAGUGAUCCUUGUCAUCAAUCUCUUUUGCAGAAGCAACUGCGAUUUGGAUGUUACCACUCUCAAGAGCAAGGUUAAAUCUUGUCUUCUCAUCUUUCACAAAGUGGAGGGCAACUUCUGGAAAGCCUUUCUGUUGUAAAUAAGAAAUCACAGCUUGCCCACACAGCUGGGAAUUCUUGAUCAUACUCAUCACAUGAUCAUACCGUUUGCGUAGAAGGGCCAGCUUGAAAAUGUACUCAGAUGCAUCAACUGUGACCAGCUUGUUCUUACCAUCACGAUCUAGACAGAAUAUAUUGUUCCCAAUAACCCUUGUUAUGUAUAUAGGAACAUCGAGGGUUUUAAUAAUUCCACUAUCUCCAUUGGGAAGGCAAUACUUGAUAUGAUUCAGGGUAGUGUAAAUAAACACACCAUUCUCAUCCCAGGCACCACUUUUCACACGAAUGGUUUCGUGCAGUGUACAGCGAUGGACGAGCUUCUUGUUUGCUAUAACCACCGCAUGCUUGCUCAGCAGUGCGACAGAUUCCAUAUCACUCGACCAAACAACAUAUUUAACAGAAGGUGCCUGGAGCU